rnacentral:sRNA from 1 species
GUCAACUACCCCGACCUACGGCUAACGCCUUAGAGGUCGGAGCUUGUAAAAGCUCUAAUUGACUAGCCUAAGUUUUUAGAAAACUACGUUAUUUAUGUUAGCACACCUACGGAUGAUUCCCAAGUCUGUAGCAACUG